rnacentral:rRNA from 1 species
UAACGCGUGAGGAACCUGCCUUCAAGAGGGGGACAACAGUUGGAAACGACUGCUAAUACCGCAUAAGCCCACAGCUCGGCAUCGAGCAGAGGGAAAAGGAGUGAUCCGCUUUGAGAUGGCCUCGCGUCCGAUUAGCUAGUUGGUGAGGUAAUGGCCCACCAAGGCGACGAUCGGUAGCCGGACUGAGAGGUUGAACGGCCACAUUGGGACUGAGACACGGCCCAG